GGGCGUCUCUAUCUCAUUGCGAGAGGAGGCGCACCUAGAGCGUACACGCUGAUACCCGAAAGAUGGUGAACUAUGCCUGGCCAGGACGAAGUCAGGGGAAACCCUGAUGGAGGUCCGCAGCGAUUCUGACGUGCAAAUCGAUCGUCGGAGCUGGGUUUAGGGGCGAAAGACCAAUCGAACCAUCUAGUAGCUGGUUCCCUCCGAAGUUUCCCUCAGGAUAGCUUGCGCUCAAGUGGAACGAGUCUCAUCCGGUAGAGCGAAUGAUUAGAGGCCUUGGGGUCGAAACGACCUCAACCUAUUCUCAAACUCCAAAUAGAUGAGAACCCCGGCUUUCUUGAAACGCAUGUUUUUGAAGCCGCGGGAUUCGGAUCAGAGUGCCAAGUGGGCCAAUUUU
rnacentral:rRNA from 1 species